UCAACCUUUUAUUGCGUAUGUAUCUCUCACAAAAUCUUGCAAAACCCUAGUGCUAUAUCAAUCAAUGAUCUAAUCUGAUCCCUAAUUUUUCAGAAAGAAGGAAUAAAGAUCCCUCCAGUACCCAGUAUUAUCAAUCUGCUCAAAAUUACUCUGGAUAAUCACUUCCUGACUGCUGCUGGAGAUCCUUACAUUCGAUUAUUUACCAUUAACUCGAACAUUCCUCAGCCGAUAGCUUUGAUUCACACACUAACAUUGUGAUGGCAGUAAGAUUCCAUUGUGAUGAAAAUUGGAUGUAUUCAGGAUCUGAGGUUGGCACUGUAAAAAUUUGGGAUUUGAGGUAUUGUAGAUAUCAGAGACAGAUGGUUUGCUAUCUUUCCAACUUCCAUCUCUCUUUUAAGUCAACAUAUAUUUGAAUCUUUUGAGGUUAUCAAAAAUAUAUUUGAAUCUUUUGAGUAUAUGCACCAGGUCAUUAAGAGGGAAUAUGAAAGUCGAGCAGUUGUGAACACUCUAGUUUUGCACCCUAAUCAGGUUUUAUACUAUGUCUCUGAAUCUGUGAAGCGCACUAUAUGCUUAACCUUUUGAUUGAAUGUUUGAACUCUCUGAGAACCUUACAGAUAGCUGUGUUUUUUGUCAGCUUUUAUCCUGCCUCUUUUCUGAGGAAAAAUCUGUAUCUUCAUUCACUAUUUUCAUAUAACAAAAUCUCCAUAUCAAUUCUAUGAGUUUCUGGUUGAACUAGGGAAUAGUUUGAACGAGCUAUUUGGAUCUUGAUUGCAUCAGAAAAAAUGGGGGCGGUGCUUAAGAAAAUAGACAUAGUAUUGGCAUCCGUCUAAACCGAUAUGUGAUGUGUAAUAUUUACUAGUAGUUCGCCUUUGCAUGCCACAUAUUCUUAUAUUUAAUAAUAAACCGGUCUUUCAGCUACGUUACUUUUUGGUAUGUUUUGAGCAGGUUUUAAAGUUUUAGGAAUGCUUUUGCAGAUUACAAAUAUAUUAACCUAUAGUAAGUAGUUUUUCAAAUACCAUAUCAUUCAAUCAACUACGCCUCAAUUUAAAAUAGUUCACUUUGGUUAUAUAUUAAUCUUCCAUAGCCAUUAACCUCUAUUAAGGUCCAUUACAUUCUAAUAGUAAAUUUGUCUUUUAAGUGGUUCUCUGGAAUUAGAUCUAAAUCUCACUCUUAUUACUACAGCCAGGAAAUACUAGUCUCUAUCCAAAUAAAAAGAUCCUUAACAAAUAUCUGGCCUUAUGUAAGUGUAAUGACAACAACUAUGCUUUAAACCCGAUUAGAUGAUUGUUUGCUUCCAUUGUGUUGCAGUCUUAGUUGAAACAAUUUCCUUCAAGUAAUUUCAGGUUUACCUUAUCCAUUUUAUUACCUUCGAUUUUCAUAUUCUCGCACCAAAUGAUUGAUGCAUAUCGAGUGCGUAGAACAUAGUCAAACAUAUUAAGAUCCUCACAUUUUAUCCUUUCUAUGCUAUAUGCUCCAUUCGUAGGAUGUAAUCAUUUCUGAUUUUGCUCAAACAUAUGUCCAUCUUAACGUUCUUAUUUUCUACAGCAUUCUUCUUGUGAUUAUGUUGGACCUUGGAUGUCCAACAUUUACUUCUAUGUAGUGUUAGUGGUCUCAAAAUUGUUCUAUAGACCUUUUCUUUCUUUUACUACUGUUAAUUUUUUGUUAGGUAAUCUUUCUAUUCUGCUAUCCUGCAACACUCCAAUGUAACUCCUUUUAUACGGUCAUCAUGUUAUAGUUUUAUAUGUUACUUCUUUGUCUAUCCUAUAAUCUAUUCGAAUAUUGAUCCAAGAAUUGUUUGCAUUAAUGCACUACAAUGUUGUCUAUCUCCUUUAACCUUUAUUCUUUAAUGGUUGCAAUCUUGUAGUGCAUAUAUUUUGGUUUAAUUCUAAUAGCCAUAAAAUCCUUAUUCUUUGACUUGUGGUUGAUUUGUCUUAAUCUCCACAAUUUUGACUUGUGGUUGAUUCCUUCACUAGUUUCGUCAAAUUAGCACAACAGCACAACUAUGCCUCAAUCUAUAGCAAAUUGGAGUCAGUUGUAUCAAUCCUCAUUGUUCAUAUCGCUCCAUAUAAUCUUCUUAAUCCAAGAGAAAUUCUAUACUCUUAUAUAUGAGCAUGGUUUUUUGGUCAAACAUUAAUAAAUUGUAUUACUUUAUAAAACAAAGUUUUUCUUAGUCCAAUACUAUAAAUUUUUUGUUAGUAGAAGAGGCUCUUUUCUUUUUUUAGUGGUGUAUAAACUUCUAACAGGACUAAAAAACUCUUAGCAAACAUUGGACAUAAACUAAAUAGACUAACAUGCCUAACUAAUUUGUAUCUCCUGUAUAAAUUCCCGGAGAUUGUAGAUCUUCAAACAAAUAUAUGGGGUAAGGACCGCCAAAGAACAAGUGUGUAACUGACAUUUUGACUCAAGUUUGGGUGUAAGUGGGUAUUGCCUUUCCCCUAAUUAGGGAGACAAGCUGUCGACAUUGUGGUACUUUAGCGUGGAAAGUUUUUAAGGGAAAGGAUAAAACGAUUCCUUAUAAAGUCUUAUAGUAUUUUCCCUUGAAGCCAAGAGCCCAAAGACAUCAAAUGUUAUUUACAUGUGGAAAAACAAGUAUGGACAUGAGGUGGCAUGAAAAAAAAAAUUGGAGAAGGCAAAUGAGUUGAGGUAUCUUGUUGAUUCUGAAGCUUGGCAAGAGUUUGACGAGAAUUAUCUGUGGUUUGCACGAGAACCACUUAAAAUUAGAAUUGACGUUGCACCCGAUGGUUUAAAUCCAUUUGGUAACGUGAGAACAUCUUAUAAUAUGUUGCUAGUCAUUUUAGUUCCUUAUAAUCUUCCUACUUGGAAAUGUUUUAAGGACCCAUUUAUAAUAAUGUCACUGCUUACUCCUAAUCCUCGAGUAUCUAAAAAGGAUAUUGAUGUUUAUUUGAAUCCUAUGGUUGAUAAAUGGAAUGAGUUAUGGAGUGACGGUAUAAAGGAAUUUGAUGCAUUAACCAGGAUGUGCUUCAAGAUGCUUGUUGUUGUUUUAUGACUGCAAACAACUUUCUAACUUAUGGUAACUACUUAAUUUCUUUACCAUUAUGUCUAAAUAACACUCCCUCUGUUUCAUUUUAUAUAACUUGUUUGACUGGAUACGAAGUUUAAGGAAGAAAUGAUUUUGAAACUUCUGGUAUUAAACAUACUAUAACAUUUGUUUGUCUAUGAAAGCUUGUCAUUAUUGGUGAAUGGGAAAAUUAAGUUGCAUUGUUUUCAAAUUUAGAAAGUGGUCAUUUUUUCUGAAACAGACUAAAAAAUAAUAUGGUCGCAUAAACGGGAAAGAAAGGAGUAGUACAUUAGAAAAGUGUAUAUAAUUAACUUGUAUAAUACUUGUAAGUUUUAUACAGCGCAACUAUAAACCUAUUUUUUAACAUAUAUUAUUUCAUAUGAAUCAACCAUUAGGUAAUUUAUUUGGAUGAAAUACUAAGGGAGUACAUGGCAUGUCCUAUUUGCAAUAAGGAUAUGUCUUCACACAAGUUAAGAAGUAAAAUAUGUUACAUGGGUCACUAUCGGUAUCUUGAACUCAAUUAAAUAUAGAGAAGUAAGAAAUUUAAAGGGGAAAUAGAAAAUAGAUUGAAGCCAAAAGUUCUUUUAGGAAUAAUAUCUUACAACAACUAAACUUUAUAGGUACUUAUAGAUCAAGAAAACACUAAAAUAGAAUAAACGUCAUCUUGAAGAGUCAAAUCAAGUGAGAAAAGUAUUUUAUUUGAAACAACUAUACCGGAAGAGUUUGAAGUUGCAACAUAAUUAAGAUGUAAUGUACAUAGAAAAUAAUAUUUGUAUGGGGGUUCUGGAGACAUUGAUUGGAAAAUUAAGAACACGUAUAAAGCAAGAAAAGAUCUUAAGGCAGUGUUGUCAAAGGCUCAUCUAAGGCGCGGUUAAGCCCUGAAGCUCAAAAAAUCUCAGGGAGGACGCUUCGCCUCACUUAAGCUGUGCUUCAGCAUAGGCAAGGCAUCACGACGUACCCCUUAUUGCUCAUGAGUUCUAUCUUGAAUGGGGUAAUGCUAUACUACAAAUAUAAUCGACAAAUAAGUGUAUUAGUUAUUAAGGAAAACAAUAGGAAUGAAUUUGUUACUUUCUCUUGAAUUACAUAUAUAUUUUUUUUUUGCAUUGUGCCUUUUUUAACUAAAGCCCGCAAUUAAAUUGCGCUUUGCUCUUAAAGCCCAAUUGACCUAGAGCGUUUUUUAGAGAUUUUGCCUUUGACAACACCGUCUUAAGGAUAUGAACAUAAGAAGGAACUAUGGUUGCAAAAAAUGUUUCCAUUUGUACUGGACUAUUUGCUUGUUAUGAUAUGUCAAAAAAGGGAAAAAAAGAUUUGUGCAUUCUUAAAUUUGUUUCUUAGUGGUUAUGCUUCAAAAUGUUGCGGUGUGUAAGCGUGAAUGAUGCUAAGAUAAUUGAGCAAAACUAUCAUGUCCACUUGUAACGAAUGGUGCCUAUUUGUAUUUAGAAAUUUGUAAAAGGACAUAGUGGUCAUGACUUUUUAAUCCAGUCAUGUUACCAUCAUUCAUGCUUAUACACCACGAUACAUUUGAAGCAUAACUAUUAGGAAAUUUUACAUAUUUUAAAAUUGCACAAAAUUCUUUUCCUUUUCCUUUUUUUGACAUAUAAUAACAAGUGUCAUCGUAUAAUUGGAACUAUUAUGGUGCAACCAUAGUUCUUUUCCUACAUUCAUAUCCUUAAGGUCUUGUGUUGCUCUAUAUGUGUCCUUAAUUUUUCCAUCAAUAUUGAAUGAUGCCCUUAAAGGAUUCUCACAAAUAUUUUUUUUUAUGUGCAUGACAUCUAAAUUAUAUCGUAACUUCAAACUCUCCCAGUAUGGUAACUUAAACAAAAUACUUUCCUCACUUGAUUUGACUUUCAGGAUGGUGUUUAUUUUUCUUAUUAUUUGGGUGUUUUGCAUGAUCUAUUAGUUAUAAAAAAAUCUAAUUGUUGUAUGACAUCAUUUCCUAAUAGCUCUUUUGGUUUCAAGUUUUUUCUACUUUUCACAAAUUUUCCACUACUUCACUUGUGAUUGGGUUCAAGAUACCGACUGUGACCCAUGUAACAAAUCUUACUUUCAACUUUUAUAAAAAUGUAUUCUAAUUUCAAAUAUACAUUCCGUGUAUCCUUUAGUGCUCCAUUCAUGUGAAUUACAUGAUUCAUAAGAAAUAAUAUAUGUUAAAAGGUAGUUUAUAUAACUUAACUAUAUACAACUUGCAAGUAUUAUACCAAUGAAAUAUAAAAUUUUCUAAUUUACUACUCCAUAUGUUCCACUUUAUCUGAAUCUAUUACCAUUUGGGGAGUCAAACAAGAUUUUGUUUGACCGGGUUUUCUGCAAAUAUUUUGAAUUAUUAACUGUUGUGUCCUAAAGUACUUUUUAGGUAGUUUCUAAAUAUGUUAAUUUUAUUUCAAAAAUUCUGAAAAUACUAUGUUCGACUUAAAAAAAAGUCAAUUUGACCCUCAUACGCUGAAUGGGAGUAUUAUUUAGGCAUCAUGGACGGCAAAAAAUUUAAGCCCUUACUGUAAGUUGGAAAGUCUUUUGUGGUCAUGCAUCUAGAAGUGCUUUAUAGUUGAUGCACCAAAUGUCUCUAUAUCAUUACUCCAUAACUCAUUCAAUUCAUCAACCACAUCCUUAUCUUUUCUAGGUGCCUGAGGACUAGAAAUAAGCAAUUACAUUAUUCUUUAACCCUAAAAAUAGUUUUUACGGUUAAAACACUUAAUUUAUAUUUUGGGGCACUAACAAUCGAUUUAACUCAUUUUUCCAUAUAUAAACAAUAUAAAAGGAAUACAAUUGAACAAAAUAAUUGAGAGAUAAAUGGAAAGAGAAAUCUUAUUGAUGUUAGUAGCACUUCUUCCAUGUAAGCAAAAUAUUGAAUUACCAGAAAUAGAAUAUUGAGAUUCAAUAGUGUGAUUGAGAGAAUAAUUGAAUAGUUUUCGGAUGAGGAUACAAUGUAAGGAACAUGGGUUUAAAUAGUAUUUCUAUUCGUAACUGAUUGCCUUAUCCAGCUACUGCACAUUACUAUCAUUUAUUGCAUUUAUUGUACGUUACAUAAUUAAUGCGUAAUCAAUGGUGUAAUAAUAGCGAAUCCCGUGUAAUUCAGGAUUAAAUGAUUCUUUCCUUAUUUGUGUUCAACUCGGGGCUUUUCCUUCUUGGUCAGUUCCAAGGCUUUUUCUAUUUUCUUUUGCCUUUGCCUUCUUCCUAAAAAUCUCUUCUGCUUUUUCGUUCUUCGCUUUCAACCUUCUUUUAUCUUUGUAAUGGCUUCUAAACCUUCUGCUUCUUCUAACCUUCUAUAUUUCCUCGUCAGGCUGUCAUAGUCGACGAACUUCCUAACGUGGUAGCUCUAGUUAGGUCUAGGAGAAGAGGAGGAAGACUCAGCAGCCUUGGCUCCAUGGCGAGUAGAGGCAGUACUAUUUCCACUAAGGGAAGUUCUUCCAAAACUCAUUUUAUCUCCAAAACUUCUUCUAAAGGGCAAAACCAAAGCGAAAGAUACCACAAAAACUUUGGUUGAGCCUUUAGUCUCUAAAAUUAUUCCACAAGAAUUUUUUUUUGCAGCCGAUUAUGACGAGUGGGAUAAGAAGAUAAGUUAAAAGGAUGGCCAUAAUGAUCCAACUGACCAUUACCCUUCCCAUAUCAGUUUGGCCAUCCCCCACUUGUUCGUAAAGAGUGAUGUUAGAGAUCCAAUUUUCCGGUCGAAACUCCUCGUGAAAAUGAACGAAUAACUAGCUAUCACGAAGGUUAUUCAUUCGUGUAUACUUAUUCGUUCACCUUCGGGUUCCAACCUGCAAUAUAUCUAGUGAUCAUAGGGUUUUGCCGAAACUUUAACGUAUGUUUCGGUCAGAUAGACCCGGUAAUUUGGAGAGUAGUGGUGUGCCUUGGCUUUUUGUCAAGUUUAGUUUCGACAAAUUUCACUCUUUGCCAUCUUCUCCAUUUAUACGCUCGCAAACUUUUUCGUGUCGCUGUAUUUACUCUCACGACAAGAAGCAAACGAGUUAUCGUCAAUCCCGAGGACGAGCAUGAUAGGUGGUGGGACAACAAGUUUGUAGUUGUUUCUACCCAAGAAUUGGUAGGACAUGAUAAUCUUCCAUUUCUCGAGAAGUGGGAUUAUAGACGUAAGUUUCCUUCGCCGUCUUUAAAUUGCUUUUGUUUUAUUUAUGCUACUUUUUUAUAUACCUUUUGCAGCGACCAUGGAAGUAUUUGGGGAAGUUCAGAGUUUCCAUGAUUAUGUUGCUUUAAUGUUAUCUUACGCUCCAAUGGAGCAAAAAACUUGGAAGUCCAUUUCCAAAAUAAAAUGGUGGGAAAGUGAAGACCCACGGUAAGUUCUUCUAUAUCAUGCAUAUUUUUCUGCAUUUUUAUUUUGUAACCAUUCCUUCUGGUCCAGCUAUCAGACUUAAUGUCAACGUAGCUCAGAAACGUAUUUUGAGCAUUCUCUCAUCGAAAAGAAAAAAUAAAGGGGCGCCUGCUUCCGAAGAGGAGGAAGACUUUAGCCCUCUCAAAAAGAGGCCCCAUUCCAGUAGAAAACAAAUUGAGUCGGAAGGUGGUCGAACCAAUCUUGAGUUCACCCUUCUGAAACUCAGUUUCAGUUAGUUGAUGAGCUUGAGGAUACCUCUGUGGUGGCAUUGGAUAUGAAGGUGUUGAACCAGUCCCUGUGUCAACUGAGGAUGUAUUUGAUCAAUAAUUUGGUGAUUACGAUGGUGAAGACCAUCUUUCGGGUUUUACUAGCGGUAACCAAUAUACCGUAGCUUUGGUACCAGUCCUUUCCAUUCUUGUUCAUGAUGAGGCUGGUCCUUCGAGAAAAGGAAAAAUGCGGCAGGUUGUAGUAGAUAUCUCGAAAGACGUCAAUCUCUUGAAAAGACUGGACCAGGCUGCCCCUUGGUUACUACUCAUUGGUCCAAUUGAAAAGAACAGAUUGAAGUCUUACUCUUCAAUUACCCCUCGCGAAUGACAUGGUUCAUUCAGCUCUCAAGGUAUGAUUCCUUCUUUUUUUUAUAUCUCUUUCCUUAAAUUUGCUUAAUAUUUUAAACUUCUUUAACACAACUUAACUUGACUGGUAAGGAGUUGAUGAAGAGAGUUGCUUGGUAUGAGCAUCGGGUUGAAGAAUUGUCUGUGGAGGCUGACAAUCGGAAAGCCUUCAACUUGACAAAGAAGAAUCAGAUAAAGAAAAGGAAUUUCUUCAGCAACAAGUCAAAGUGAUGACUUCAGAGCUGGAAAUUACGAAGGCAGAGGUGAAGUUUCAACAAAACUCUAUGAUCACCGGAUCUAUGCAGGUUGGAACCCGAGGGUGAACGAAUAAGUAUACACGAAUGAAUAACAUUCGCAGUAGCUAGUUAUUCAUUCGUCUUCACGAGGAGCUUCGACUGGAAAAUUGGAUCUCCAAUGGCACUCUUUGCGAACAACUGGGAGAUGACCUGACUACGACCAUCCUUUUGACUAGUCUUCUUUUUCUGCUCAGCACAGUCGGCUGCAAAAAAAAUCUUGUAGAAUAAUUUCAGAGAUUAAAGGCUCAACUGAAGUUUUUGUGGUA